UACGUAGGGUGCGAGCGUUGUCCGGAAUUAUUGGGCGUAAAGCGCGCGCAGGCGGCCUCGCGCGCCCGACGUGAAAGCCCCCGGCUUAACCGGGGAGGGUCGUUGGGGACGGCGGGGCUUGAGGGCGGGAGAGGUCGGUGGAAUUCCCGGUGUAGUGGUGAAAUGCGUAGAGAUCGGGAGGAACACCUGUGGCGAAGGCAGCUCGCUGGGACGAUACUGACGCUAAGGCUCGAAAGCGUGGGGAGCGAACAGG
rnacentral:rRNA from 1 species